CAACGAGUUACGUUAAGUAGCAAAGUUAAGAAUGUAAGGUGUGGAGCCGUAGCGAAAGCGAGUUUUACCUGAGCGUUCAGUUACUUGACGGAGACCCGAAACCGGGCGACCUUCCCAGGAGCAGGAUGAAGCGAAAGUAAAAUUGCGUGGAGGUCCGAACCCACGAGCGUUGAAAAGCUCGGGGAUGACUUGUGGGUAGCGGUGAAAUUCCAAUCGAGCCCGGAGAUAGCUGGUUCGCCCCGAAAUAGCUUUAGGGCUAGCCUCAAGGUGAGAGAUACGGAGGUAGAGCACUGAAUGUCCUAGGGGGUAUUGCACCUACCGAAGACUAUCAAACUCCGAAUGCCGUCAUCUUAUACUUGGGAGUCAGACUGUGGGUGAUAAGAUUCAUAGUCGAAAGGGCAACAGCCCAGAUCGUCAGCUAAGGUCCCUAAAUGUAAGUUAAGUGGUAAAGGAUGUGGGAUUGCACAGACAACCAGGAUGUUGGCUUAGAAGCAGCCACUCAUUCAAAGAGUGCGUAAUAGCUCACUGGUCGAGUGAUCCUGCGCCGAAGAUUUCCGGGGCUAAAACUUACUACCGAAGCUACGGCAUCAGUAAUGAUGGGUAGGGGAGCUUCCCAUACGGGUUGAAGCAUGACCGUAAGGACAUGUGGACAGUAUGGGAGUGAGAAUGUUGGCA
rnacentral:rRNA from 1 species